rnacentral:piRNA from 1 species
UGGGGUACCUCGAGUUUGAGCAUAACU